rnacentral:rRNA from 1 species
AAUGAACGCUGGCGGCGCGCCUAAUACAUGCAAGUCGAGCGAGAAGACGUAGCAAUACGUUUGUAAAGCGGCGAACGGGUGAGGAAUACAUGGGUAACCUACCCUCGAGUGGGGAAUAACUAGCCGAAAGGUUAGCUAAUACCGCGUACGCUCCUUGGACUUCGGUUCAGGGAGGAAAGCGAUACCGUGGGUAUCGCGCUCUUGGUUGGGCUCAUGUCCUAUCAGCUUGUUGGUGAGGAACGGCUCACCAAGGCUUCGACGGGUAGCUGGUCUGAGAGGACGAUCAGCCACACUGGCACUGCGACACGGGCCAGACUCCUACGGGAGGCAGCAGUAAGGAAUAUUGCGCAAUGGGCGAAAGCCUGACGCAGCGACGCCGCGUGGGGGAUGAAAGUCUUCGGAUUGUAAACCCCUUUCGGGAGGGAAGAUGGAACGAGCAAUCGUUCGGACGGUACCUCCAGAAGCAGCCACGGCUAACUUCGUGCC